CUGCAACGCAGUGCAGCGCACCUAGUAACCCGACGAGGUGCGCCCUACCUGACCCAGCACGUACAGAAAGACACUCGUCUGUGUGUUCUUCUUGUUACUCGCCCACCGUGUGUGCCAUGCUCCGCUUUUUUCGGGCACGCUUGGCGCCCACCACCACCGAUGCGGCGGCAAAGCUGCCUGCUGGGAAUCCGGUGAACAAGACGUGGUUCCGCCACAAUCUCAUUAUCCGGCGCAAGGGCUCGUACCGCUCUCGCUGGGGCAACGGCACGGAAGGGUACGGGGCCGGCGUCCCUCUUAGUGACCAGGUGAAAUUGCACUGUGUAGACAACACCAACUGCAAGCACGUCCGCCUCAUAGCCAAGGCCACGGCCGAGCGCUUCGCACACUGCCGCGUCUUUCCUGCCGUGGCGCACCGUGUGUCGGUGCAGCGCUUCAAGGGACGUGGCAGGGGCGGUGAGGUCUCGCGCCAUCGCGUCAAACCCGGCAACAUAUACUGGGUCUGCCUAUUCACGCGUCGCCAAACAAACACCCGCAUGAGUGGCUUGCAGACGAACUUUGACCGCAACACGUGUAUUAUCAUGAAUGAUCAACGCGUACCGUUAGGGACGCGGGUGAUGUACUGCGCUGGCCGUCACGUUAACCACAAGUAUCACCUGAAGGCCGUCGUGCUCGCGAACUUUUUCGUCUGAGCCGAUGCCGCGCGUUCUCUCUGUCUCUUGUGCGGACUGGCAGCGACCAGCACAAGCAUAGCGUCAUUUUUUUUCUUCGUGCGCGCGCAUAGCGUCGCCUCUCGCGUGCUCGUGAUUGCCCUGUAUGACGCUGCUUGCCACAUGGUUGUUGGUCCACGGUUGCGGGCCGUCUGGACGUGUUUUGUGUUUACAUGGUGCCAUAGGAGGAGUGUCCUCCAAGAUAAAAAGAAGUGCAGCCUGCGCAGAGGCGAAAGAGCGGUAUUUUUUUUUGUUUGCUACUCAGCGACCUCGCGUGCGUGCGCAUUUAUGUUUGUGUGUGCUCGCCAUCGUUUUUUAUCCAUGACGAUCGCGGUGCGCAACACUGCGUCAGCGGCGCUGUUUGUUGGAGGAUUACUCGCGGUCUUUGGCAGGGCUUGCCUUCUACUUGCCUUUCUUGCGCCGACCUCUCUCUCUCUCUGCUUUCUCACAUAGGAGGAAUGAUGCGCGCAUGAUGCUGCCUUCGUCGUCU
rnacentral:misc_RNA from 1 species